rnacentral:rRNA from 1 species
GUCUAUGGCCAUACCACCCCGAAUGUUCCCAAUCUGGUCUGAGCUCAGAAGUUAAGCAGUGUUGGGCCCAGUUAAUACUUAGAUG